AAAAGAUAAACCAGACAAACAGCGGUGAACUUUCCCUAGGACUGGAGGUCUGGAAGAUGAAUAUUUCUCUCCUAUACAGGGAAGGUCACAUUUCUCCUUUCAGUCUAUGGAGCCCCAGGCACCAGGGAAGCCAACUCCAUGCUUGGGGUCUGGAUAGUGUCAAUUCAAGAUGAACAUAAAAGUCCUCAGUCAUUAUCCGGGAGGGAUGCAGACCAAUAGCUUUUGGAGUCGCUGAACGUGACAAAAGGGAGGUCAUUAACCAUUACACUGAAGCUACCAAGAAACCUUAUAAACUUAUGCUCCCUUAUGGAACAUCUGAGUUUUCCUGAGUAAAUGACAUUGCUUUGCCAGAUUGCCCUUCAGAACUUCCUCAGCUUAAUUAGGUAUGUGUGUCAGGAAUUUGUUUAGUCUGUAAUAUCA
rnacentral:lncRNA from 1 species